rnacentral:rRNA from 1 species
GUGUCAGCAGCCGCGGUAAGACAGAGGUGGCGAGCGUUGUUCGGAAUCACUGGGCUUAAAGGGCGCGUAGGUGGUAGUGUAAGUCUGAGGUGGAAUCCUGCGGCUUAACCGCAGAACUGCCUUGGAAACUGCAUUACUUGAGUCAGUGAGGGGAGGGUAGAAUUCCCGGUGUAGCGGUGAAAUGCGUAGAUAUCGGGAGGAAGGCCUGUGGCGAAGGCGGCCCUCUGGCGCUGGACUGACACUGAGGCGCGAAAGCGUGGGGAGCAAACAGGAUUAGAAACCCUCGUAGUCC